GGUGAGGUAACCUUUUGGAGCCAGCCGCCUAAGGUGGGAUAGAUGAUUGGGGUGAAGUCGUAACAAGG
rnacentral:rRNA from 1 species